CGCUUAACACAUGCAAGUCGAACGAGAACCUUGCCUUCGGGCUUGGGGACAGUGGCGAACGGGUGAGUAACACGUGGGUAAUCUGCCCUUGACAUCGGGAUAGCCCGGGGAAACCCGGAUUAAUACCGAAUAGCCUCCGGAGCCUUCGGGCGCCGGAGAAAAGGUAGCUUCGGCCUCUGGUCAAGGAUGAGCCCGCGGCGGAUUAGCUUGUUGGCGGGGUAAUGGCCCACCAAGGCGACGAUCCGUAGCUGGUCUGAGAGGACGAUCAGCCACACUGGGACUGAGACACGGCCCAGACUCCUACGGGAGGCAGCAGUGGGGAAUCUUGCGCAAAUGCGGGAAACCGUGACGCAGCGACGCCGCGUGGGGGAAGAAGGCCUUCGGGUUGUAAACCUCUUUCAGGAGGGACGAAGCUACUCGGGUUAAUAGCCCAGAGGGUGACGGUACCUUCAGAAGAAGCCCCGGCUAACUACGUGCCAGCAGCCGCGGUAAUACGUAGGGGGCAAGCGUUGUCCGGAUUUAUUGGGCGUAAAGAGCGUGUAGGCGGCCUGACAAGU
rnacentral:rRNA from 1 species